GAGAGAGAGAUAGAGAGAGAGAGAUGGGGAGGAGUCCAUGUUGCUCCAAGGAAGGACUCAACCGAGGAGCCUGGACGGCCAUGGAAGACAAAAUUCUUACAGCUUACAUUAAAGCCCAUGGAGAAGGCAAAUGGAGAAACCUUCCCAAGAGAGCUGGUUUGAAGAGAUGUGGUAAGAGUUGUAGACUUAGAUGGUUGAAUUAUUUGAGACCAGACAUCAAGAGAGGUAACAUAUCCCAUGAUGAAGAAGAACUCAUUAUUAGGCUCCAUAAGCUUCUUGGUAACAGAUGGUCUCUAAUAGCUGGAAGGCUACCUGGGCGAACAGACAAUGAAAUCAAGAACUAUUGGAACACUACUCUGGGAAAGAAAGCUAAUGCUCAAUCAACUUCACCACAAUCCAAGCACACUACUGCUACCAACUCUAGACAGAAAAAGCUAGCCACUGAAUCCUCAAACUCACCACUCCCAGCCAAAGUCAUCCGCACUAAGGCCACUAGGUGCACCAAAGUCUUUAUCCCAUUACAGUCUCCCCAUCCACCCCCUGAAUUUCACUCCUUCAACCCAACAGCCAGUGACCCCCCAGCUCAAACUUCCUUCCCAAAUCAUCCUAGUCAAGAGUUCGAUUCUUCUGAUCAACUACUCCACUGUGGAACAUUCACUAAUGAGGAACUCCAGAGUUGCCAUCAUGAUGAUGAUUUAGAUUUCUUGAAUCUUGAUUGCCAUGAAUUUCAAGCAAGCGAUGGAGAUGCUGCCCCAGUGGACUAUAAUUACAAGGAGAAUUUGUCCUCGGGUCAUGAUCAUCACCGGUCCCUACCCAUGGAGGGGCCGCCUGUGUUCAACGAUUGGGCCACCAGUGCCUGUUUCGAGGACAGCGCCAAUUUGGACCUAGAUUCCCUAUCAUUUUUCCUUGAUUCUGAGGAAUGGCCACUACAAUAAUAUAUAACUACAGAGCGAGAAAAUCUUAUUAAUAAUAUAUGGGAAAAUAAAAAGUAAAUUUGUGAAUAAAUAACUAUAUAUUUCACUUGUUGCGUAUCAUGAGUGACUCCUGUAGAAUUUGAAGUAAUUAACUAUUAGCAAGCUUGUUGAUGCUGAUAAAUUACUGUUAAUGUUUUAUGCGCAAGAUUUUUUUUUCUUUCUGCUGUUAACACUUAAUCUAAUGAAAUUUUAGAAUAAUAAUUAUAGACACCAUAUUUUGGUCGACCCUCAAAUGCAUAACUUAAUA
rnacentral:misc_RNA from 1 species